GGGAACAGUGCUGGGGGAACAAAGAGAGGAGAAAGAGGAGAUAGAAAGUUUGGAUUCGGCGGGGUAAGCAGAAGAGAGGAAAACCCUAGAGAAAAGGGUGAAAAGAAUGGGUUAUCAUAUACUGAAGGUUAUAUGACGACCUGACCUGACUUGUUGACCCGACCUGAAUACUUGGCCCAACCCGACCCUGAAGGCCACACAGUAACCUGACCCGAUCCACAGACUCGACUUGACUCACUGACCCAACCCAGCUUCGAUCCAACCCCGGCCCAUCCCUCAACUGGAUCAGACCCAGCAGCAACUCAA
rnacentral:lncRNA from 1 species